UGGGCGCAAGCCUGAUCCAGCAAUGCCGCGUGAGUGAAGAAGGCCUUCGGGUUGUAAAGCUCUUUUGUCAGGGAAGAAACGGCCUGUUCUAAUAAAGUGGGCUAAUGACGGUACCUGAAGAAUAAGCACCGGCUAACUACGUGCCAGCAGCCGCGGUAAUA
rnacentral:rRNA from 1 species